AUGGCGGACAAGCUGAGCCGGGAGCUGGUGCUGUACGCCGUCGGCCACACGGCGCUGCUCACCGGGGGCGGAGGGGGGAAGGGCCAGCUCGACUCGUUCGCCUCCAUCGCCUCCUAUGGCUUCCUCUCCGUCCGCACCCCGCGAUCAAUGAACCCAGAGGAUGGAGGGGACAGGAAUAGCGACUUGAUUCUCGAGCUAGCGCAGCUGCUCGACGUGUACGAUGCCCUCUACCCUGCCAAGGUUUCACAUUAGGAUGGGGAAAUUUCCCGGGUGGAUCCGCAGGAGCUAGUAGUCCCCAAGCUAUCCGAGAGGUUCAUGGGGCGGAGAGCUGCUAUCGUCAGCAAUUGCCCCAAUGUUAGCUCAUUCGCGGCGAAUCUUGGCUUCCACGUUUUUGGAACUGAGGAUUUUGCUGCGCAGUCAGGUUCUGGCAGCAUUUCUAAGGACACUAGAAUAAUCGACCGGGCGUUCACUCUGCUGGGAUUUGCAGAGGGGAAUGUACAGGAUGUGUCUGAAUUCGAUCUGGUGUUUGUGCAUGCCGCACUGGAGAACACAACCAACAAGCUUGGGAAAUUAGGGAUGAAGACGGAUCUCAACCGGCUUGACAAAUUGCUGGCUUCAGUCAUGGAAGCUGCGCCGGUCGGUUCAAUUGUCGCUGUCUGUAUUCAUGUUUCUGUUAUCUUGAGCUAUGGAUCAGCUACUGGAAAUAAGGAAGAGACAUGCCUCAUCUUGAACUCUUCAACCGAAACUGAUUCCGACUUGAAGUUACUCCGUCCACGCCAGAUCUACACUAUGAAAGCAGGAAAGACGUUGGAGGACGUCAGGAAUCAUCAUCCAAUGCUACUGGCACAGUGGUAACAAGGAGUAACACGUUCUGAUUUGGCCAAGGAGUUCUCUUUUGAGGAAUUUAUAAAGGUCUGCUUAAUGCACUUUUUAGAAUGUUUGUCUGAAUCAUAG
rnacentral:rRNA from 1 species